rnacentral:rRNA from 1 species
AACGAACGCUGGCGGCAUGCCUAACACAUGCAAGUCGAACGGGACCUUCGUGUCUAGUUGCGCUCCUCUGGGUGCCACCUGGUAACCUGCCCUUGAGUUCGCUGUCCCUCCCCGUGGGAGGACCUCAUACAGGUUAAUCUAAUACCGGCAAGGAUUUCUCGCCUUUGGAUGGGGCCGCGUUAGAUUCGCCAGUUGGUAGUGUAAAAGCCUCCCAAGGCGUCGAUCCAUAGCUGGUCGGUUAGGAUGAUCAGCCAGACUGGGACUGAGACACGGACCAGAAUGGUACGGGAGGCAGCAGUGGGGAAUAUUGUACGAUGAGCGAAAGCCUGAUACAGCAAUGCCGCGGGUGUGAGGAAGGGCUUAGGGUUGUGAAGCCCUUUUACACGGGAUGAUAAUGACGGUACCGGGAGAAGAAGCUCCGGCUAACUCCGUG